rnacentral:rRNA from 1 species
CAGCCUAAACAUGCAAGUCGAAGCGGAAACGAUGGAAGCUUGCUCCAGGCGUCGAGCGGCGGACGGGUGAGUAAUGCAUAGGAAUCUGCCCGGUAGUGGGGGAUAACCUGGGGAAACCCAGGCUAAUACCGCAUACGUCCUACGGGAGAAAGCAGGGGAUCUUCGGACCUUGCGCUAUCGGAUGAGCCUAUGUCGGAUUAGCUUGUUGGUGAGGUAAUGGCUCACCAAGGCGACGAUCCGUAGCUGGUCUGAGAGGAUGAUCAGCCACAUCGGGACUGAGACACGGCCCGAACUCCUACGGGAGGCAGCAGUGGGGAAUAUUGGACAAUGGGCGAAAGCCUGAUCCAGCCAUGCCGCGUGUGUGAAGAAGGCUUUCGGGUUGUAAAGCACUUUCAGUGAGGAAGAAGGCCUUGGGGCUAAUACCCCCGAGGAAGGACAUCACUCACAGAAGAAGCACCGGCUAACUCCGUGCCAGCAGCCGCGGUAAUACGGAGGGUGCGAGCGUUAAUCGGAAUUACUGGGCGUAAAGCGCGCGUAGGCGGCGUGAUAAGCCGGUUGUGAAAGCCCCGGGCUCAACCUGGGAACGGCAUCCGGAACUGUCAGGCUAGAGUGCAGGAGAGGAAGGUAGAAUUCCCGGUGUAGCGGUGAAAUGCGUAGAGAUCGGGAGGAAUACCAGUGGCGAAGGCGGCCUUCUGGACUGACACUGACGCUGAGGUGCGAAAGCGUGGGUAGCAAACAGGAUUAGAUACCCUGGUAGUCCACGCCGUAAACGAUGUCGACUAGCCGUUGGGGUCCUUGAGACCUUUGUGGCGCAGUUAACGCGAUAAGUCGACCGCCUGGGGAGUACGGCCGCAAGGUUAAAACUCAAAUGAAUUGACGGGGGCCCGCACAAGCGGUGGAACAUGUGGUUUAAUUCGAUGCAACGCGAAGAACCUUACCUACCCUUGACAUCGUGCGAACUUUCCAAAAAUGGAUUGGUGCCUUCGGGAACGCACAAACAGGUGCUGCAUGGCUGUCGUCAGCUCGGGUUGUGAAAUGUUGGGUUAAGUCCCGUAACGAGCGCAACCCUUGUCCCUAUUUGCCAGCGAUUCGGUCGGGAACUCUAGGGAGACUGCCGGUGACAAACCGGAGGAAGGUGGGGACAACUCCAGUCAUCAUGGCCCUUACGGUAAGGGGUACCACCUGCUCCAAUGGCCGGUUCAAAGGUUGGCAAACCCCCAGGGGGAGCUAAUCCCCGAAAGACGGGUCCUUUCCGGAAGGGAAUUGGUACCCUUCUCCCCGGAAAGGGAA